rnacentral:snoRNA from 14 species
UUGCAGGCACAGUUACUCUACAGCUGAAGUGUUCUAUUGCCUUUCCCCAGCUUAAAGCAUUUGAUACAUUACUCUCUCAGCCUAGCUCUAACAAAAUAAGGCAGAGACUCUUGGUUUCCAACAU